GAGGGUGUAGCUCAGUAGUAAAGCGCAUGCCUUGCAUGCAUGUGGUCCGGGGUGCAAUUCCCAGGACCUCCA
rnacentral:tRNA from 1 species